rnacentral:rRNA from 1 species
AUUGAACGCUGGCGGCAGGCUUAACACAUGCAAGUCGAGCGGAGCGAGGGUGCUUGCACCUUAGCUUAGCGGCGGACGGGUGAGUAAUGCUUAGGAAUCUGCCUAUUAGUGGGGGACAACAUUCCGAAAGGAAUGCUAAUACCGCAUACGCCCUACGGGGGAAAGCAGGGGAUCUUCGGACCUUGCGCUAAUAGAUGAGCCUAAGUCGGAUCAGCUAGUUGGUGGGGUAAAGGCCUACCAAGGCGACGAUCUGUAGCGGGUCUGAGAGGAUGAUCCGCCACACUGGGACUGAGACACGGCCCAGACUCCUACGGGAGGCAGCAGUGGGGAAUAUUGGACAAUGGGCGGAAGCCUGAUCCAGCCAUGCCGCGUGUGUGAAGAAGGCCUUUUGGUUGUAAAGCACUUUAAGCGAGGAGGAGGCUACUUAGAUUAAUACUCUGGGAUAGUGGACGUUACUCGCAGAAUAAGCACCGGCUAACUCUGUGCCAGCCGCCGCGGUAA